ACAAAAUUAAACAACUACCUGCUGAAAUUGGUGAAUUAUGUAACCUCAUUACGCUGGAUGUAGCUCACAAUCAACUUGAACACCUUCCAAAGGAGAUUGGAAACUGUACGCAGAUAACCAACCUUGACUUGCAGCACAAUGAACUGCUAGACCUCCCAGAUACUAUAGGUAUGAAAGGAGAAAGAAGAUAUUGAUAGCUGUUAAUAGCUAACUGGAUAUUAAUAGGACUAUUUUUGAUCCAUUUGGUAAUGAAAAUUCAGGAGUAAAAUUAACAAUUACCAAAGUUGUAAAACUUUUAAGAUAAUACUUUAAAAUCAUUUUUCGU
rnacentral:sRNA from 1 species